rnacentral:rRNA from 1 species
UUAGUAGAAGAUGAGGGGUGUGGUUGAAAUUGAUUGGUCGGUGCAGAAUCCGACGUUGGUUAAUAAGACGGAAAGACCCCGAGAGCUUGGAGUUCUUUGUUUAUCUGGGGUGGAGGCGAGUGUUUCAUACGUUAUUUGAUCCUGGUGGAAAGAAGGUUGAAGUUACCUCGGGGAUAACUAGGUAAGAAGUAAGGAGAGUUCGCAUUGAUUUACUUGUUUGCCAUCUCGAUGUUGACUUGGGGGAAUCAGGCGGGUGCAGAGGCUUGUCUGGAUGGUCUGUUCGACCUUAGAUCCUCUCAUGAGC